UGAAUACCAUAUCAUCUGCAAACGCCUGUAGUUUUUACUGUUCUUUUUUUAUUUCCAUACCUUUUAUCUCUGCAUCCCGUCUAAUAUUUCUAUUCA